CUUGGCUACUCUGGUGUUGAUGGGGAGGUGGGAGAGGGGGCGGAGGCGGCGAGGGCUGCCCACUGAGUAGACCCGCUACGAGACCCUUGUGCCCCAGCUGUGGACCAAGUCUGGAGCUGACAGCUCCUCCAUUCAUCAAGGGGUCCCUACCAUGUGCUUUACCUGCGGGAGUCCACGUACCCAAAGAGCUGUAAGCCAUGGUCACCUCCGUGUUCUUGAUGAGAAAUGAGGGCUCGGAGAGGUGAAGGGACCGGUCCCUGGUCACGCCGCUGGAGAGGGGCAGAGCACUGAGCAGGUGGGCCUCGAAGCUCCAGCUGCUUCCACCCGCCAUGUGGCCGCUCACGGUUAGCAUGUGCAGCCCGGGCCAGUGGAUCCAGGCGAGGACAGGAAUCCCACAAGUUCUCCAGGGGCUGUCCUUGUCCCGGAGGACUCUCCUGGCCCUGUUGCUGAGACGCUGCCAAGCAGAGGGCUGUGGGCUUGGGCAACGGGGCCCCGUGCCAAGGCCAGGGUGGGCCCUGCCUUUGGUCUGGCCCAAACCUGGUACUCCAGAGAUUUGAAAACCAUCAGCAGCCCUCUGUCCUGUGAACAUAUACUAAGUUUUCCCAAGUUUGGGUGACAAAUGCUAGGGGCUUCCCUGGGCAGCCUCUGAAAUUCUGUGUGUGGCCUACACAGGUAGAGGUCCAUGGAGAAUAGGCAUGCUGGCUGCAGGUAAGAAACACAGCCAGUUGAUUGCUACUCCCUCACUCCAAAGCCUGCCGUGGCUCCCUACUGCCGAUAGCACUAAAUCCCAGCUCCUCAGCCUGGCAUUCCCUAGGCUAGGGGUCGAAUCGAAGCUGUAGCCACCAGCCUACACCAGAGCCACAGCCACGUGGGAUCCGAGCCGUGUCUGCAACCUACACCAUAGCUACCGGCCACGCCGGAUCCUUAACCCACUGAGCAAGGCCAGGGAUCAAACCCGCAACCUCAUGGUUCCUACUUGGAUUCGUUAACCACUGAGCCACGACGGGAACUCCCUAUUGUAGGAUUCUUACGCCAACACCCACGAGGACAGGAGGCAGAUGCUGAAUCUUAGCUGUUGAAUUUAAGAGGGAGCAUGUUAGGGUGAAAACUCCUGAAUGAUACUGGGCACACUGUGAGUGUUUUGGUGGCCACAGGUGUCUGUGCCAGGUGAGGGCACUUGCAGAGGACACGUGGCAUUUCGCCCUGCUGGGGUGGAGAACAGCCGCUGGGAAAUCAUUUUGAGUCGAAUUAUUAUUUCGGGGUGAAUUAUUUCUCUUUGCCGUGUUCUUGAUUUGAAUUUUCUCUGGGGCGUUGGUGGUGGUAGGCAUUUUUAAGAGUCACAAUGGAAACAAAUGGGAAAUUGUUAAAAUAUUGAUUGUAAUUUCUGGGAGACUUCACUGAUUUAAAAAAUAGGAACCUUUAAGAAAAAAAGCCCUCAUUAGCAAGCGAGCCGUUAAUUAAAGGGCUGUAGAAUGACUUGCAUCGAUUUCACCAUGAAACCAGAAAGCUGUGGCCACAGGUCAAUUUUCCCCUGCAGCUCCUUGCUUACCACAGAUGCCGCUUCCAGAAUGCCAUAGCACAGGCACGACUCAGGCCCCACAUCGGGAGAGGCUCCAUCCACUCUUCUCGGAUCCUUCAGACCAUUUGCGAUUUUGUGAUAAAAACACACGCGUGCGCGCGCGCACGCACGCACGUAGGCACGCACACAUGCGCGCACACAACGAAACCCUGACCUGUGGCUGUCCUAGCAACCACCGCUACCGCCAGCAUCAAGCCGGCGUGCUGGCCAGGCAGACGUUGGGAGAAAAACUGGACAAUGGGCUCCCACUGUUCUGGGUUUGGAAAACACGGUCGUCUUAACAAGAAAAGCAGCCAAAACUCUGAGCACACCUACUCGGCACCAGGCCCCGUGCUUCACAUUGUGAGCUCAAGGAAGCCUCCAAAGAGCUCAUUUCAGAGCUGCACACAGAGGCCCAGAGACGUUCGGCAACUGGACUGAGAUCACACAGCUGCUCCCUGGGGAAAUCAAGAUUUGAAGGUCCCAGGUCGUCUGGGACUCGGCAGCCUACACGGGAUCCCGUUAAGACCUAGCUGACCAGGGAGUUAAGCCUCACAUGUUCACUUCCCCAGUUCCCAGCUCUUUUCUAAUCGGCCGGCUUGCACCAGCUCAUAAGAUAGGGUUGCUACAUUUUCAGCAAGGCUGUGAAUCUGUCAAUGACUCAGGUAGCUCGGAAUGGGCCAUGGUGGGAGUAGCUUCGCCACAGAAAUGGGCAAAUGCUGCAAAUCAGGGCCGGUUGUUAAACAUUUACCAACACGCCACUGCACGCAGGCGUUAGAGCCAGACGACCCGUGCAGACCCUGGGCCCACCGCUUACCGAGUGGCCCGGGCAAGUUUCCUAGUCUGGACAUUCGAGAGAACGGCAGUGCUCGACUCACCGGCUUGUUGCAAGCUUUAUGUAUAAUAAUCGACAUUAAGCACCCAGCGCAGCAGAAGUGAUGGGCUAGCCUUGGUUGUAAAAAUGUGUCCUGCAACUACUACUAAUUACUAGUAUUAUUAGGGGGCCAUCCCCGUUCUUCUAGAGCCCAGCCACAAGUCCUAAACUUUCUCCCUGCCUCCAGGCUUGUGCCCUCCGCCUCCAAUGCAUCCUCCUCGCAGAGGUGAUGGGGGAAACUUCUAGAAUACACAUAUUACCUCAUUUUUCCUGUGCUCGAAGUAUUUCCAUGGCUCCCUAUUACCCUCAGAGAAAAAUUGCUGCUUCAAACUACCACAACCGCGUAGUCUGCUGGGGCCCACCUAACAAAGUAGCACGGACCGAGGGGGGAGCUUAAACCACAGAAAGGCAAGGACCAACAACUCUGG
rnacentral:lncRNA from 1 species